rnacentral:tRNA from 2 species
CCCAAGCUAGCUCAGCCUGGUAGAGCUUCCGGCUGUAGACCGGGCCGUCGAAGGUUCAACUCCUUCGCUUGGGA